CGCCUCGGCGCGGCGGAACUCCUUGGCGCCAACGAUCGCGUGCCAGGACACACGCUCACUCACGCGAAUGAAUUCGCCAACUCCGCUGGAUUCGGGAUCCUUUGUCUGCCCUACGCUCAGAGCUGCACAACCGCAGACAUGUGACGGCCCCCGCCGGGACUGCCAUCCCAGUGCGAGGGCCUGACCACCGAGGAAGACAAGGACUUCCCG
rnacentral:ncRNA from 1 species